AGAGUUAAUUGUCAAAAUUUUCAUCAUACAUAAGCAAAAUAUUUUUAAUAAAACAAAAUUACGUAUUUUGUUUAUAACUUCCAAUUAAGAGUUUAUAUUUCGUAUUUACCCGACAACUGACCAGCCGUGGUGUAUAUGAGCGACAGAAACUUAAAAAUAUUAAUUAUGUUUCAGCACGAAACAAGGGAUACCUAACAUCUGGAUAUAUUGUAAAACAUUUAAGAAUAUUAUCUUAACAAAAAGAUAAAAGAUGAUGUCACGCUAAAAGUGAUUCUCUCAGCAAAUGGGCUACGGAUUCAAAGUAAACAGGAUGGAUAGGUGUUUUAAAUUUUCAAAAUGUUACUAAAGGUAACCAAGCCAUCAGUGGUAGUUGUCAAGAAUGAGGAA